AUGGCGAAAUACUGGUGGGGAAGUUCCCUUGAUCGUCGAUCCUUACACUGGCUAGCCUGGGAUAAAUUGGCUACGCCCAAACCCAACGGGGGGAUGGGCUUUCGCGACAUGCGAAUUUUCAACUUGGCUCUAUUGGGAAAGCACGGAUGGAGAUUUAUGACCAACCCGGAUUCACUGUGCGCCAAGGUUAUGAAAGGUAGAUACUUUCCCAACUCUGAUUUCAUGCAAGCUUCUGUUCCAAAGUCGUCUUCAGCUGUUUGGAGAGCGAUUGUGGCAGGCCAGAAAGCACUAAAUACAGGGCUUGUGAAGAGAGUGGGCGAUGGAUCUUCUAUUCGGGUGUGGGAGGACAAGUGGAUUCCAUCCACCAACACCAUGACCCCCCUGCUACGACCAACUCACACGGCAGUCCAGACUGUCAAUGAUCUUAUUGAUACAUCUAACUGGACAUGGCGCCGUGAUCUUGUACGAGAGACUUUCAUUGCUCUGGAUGCUGCGGCGGUCCUAAACAUACCACUGCGGCAUGGAGGAGGGGAGGAUUUCCUAGCCUGGGCACAUGAGAAGUCAGGCAUCUAUACUGUUAAAUCGGCGUAUCGAGCUCUGGUGAAUCAAAAAGAGCGACUAGCUCUAGAGGAGGGGCAGAUUACCGGCACUUCAACGAAUCAGCAACAGUUGUGGAAGGAUGUUUGGAAACUCAAUGUAGUCCCAAAAGUAAGAGUUUUUUUGGUGGCGCGUGUUAAGGGGCACUCUACCAGAUGA
rnacentral:rRNA from 1 species